UACGAAGGGGGCUAGCGUUGUUCGGAAUCACUGGGCGUAAAGGGCGCGUAGGCGGCCGAUCAAGUCGGGGGUGAAAGCCUGUGGCUCAACCACAGAAUUGCCUUCGAUACUGUUUGGCUUGAGACCGGAAGAGGUUAGUGGAACUGCGAGUGUAGAGGUGAAAUUCGUAGAUAUUGGGAAGAACACCUGAGGCGAAGGCGGGUUACUGGCCCGGUACUGACGCUGAGGUGCGAAAGCGUGGGGAGCAAACAGG
rnacentral:rRNA from 1 species